UAGGAAAUAGUUAAAUUAUAGCAUUAGUUUGUCAGACUGAAGUCAGGAGAUAGUCUCUUUUUCUUAA
rnacentral:tRNA from 1 species